rnacentral:rRNA from 1 species
CCAAUAGCGUAUAUUAAAGUUGUUGCAGUUAAAAAGCUCGUAGUUGAAUUUCGGGAUCAAUAUGUUGGUCGUGCCUCGGUACGUACUAGCUUAUUGGUUUCUCCUUUCUGAAGAACCAUGAUGUCAUUUAUUUGGUGUCGUGGGGAAUCAGGACUGUUACUUUGAAAAAAUUAGAGUGUUUAAAGCAGGCUCACGCUUGAAUACAUUAGCAUGGAAUAAUGAAAUAGGACGUUUGAUUCUAUUUUGUUGGUUUCUAGGAUCGACGUAAUGAUUAAUAGGGAUAGUUGGGGGCAUUAGUAUUCAAUUGUCAGAGGUGAAAUUCUUGGAUUUAUUGAAGACUAACUACUGCGAAAGCAUUUGCCAAGGAUGUUUUCAUUAAUCAAGAACGAAAGUUAGGGGAUCGAAGACGAUCAGAUACCGUCGUAGUCUUAACCAUAAACUAUGCCGACUAGGGAUCGGAUGAUGUUAAUUUUGUAACGACUUCAUUGGCAUCUAUACG